rnacentral:rRNA from 1 species
ACAACCUCAAUUUAAGUGAGAUUACCCGCUGAACUUAGCAUAUGGGA